AACGAACGCUGGCGGCAGGCUUAACACAUGCAAGUCGAGCGCCCCGCAAGGGGAGCGGCCGACGGGUGAGUAACGCGUGGGAACGUACCUUUUGGUUCGGAACAACUCCGGGAAACUGGAGCUAAUACCGGAUAAGCCCUAACGGGGAAAGAUUUAUCGCCGAACGAUCGGCCCGCGUCUGAUUAGCUCGUUGGUGAGGUAACGGCUCACCAAGGCGACGAUCAGUAGCUGGUCUGAGAGGAUGACCAGCCACACUGGGACUGAGACACGGCCCAGACUCCUACGGGAGGCAGCAGUGGGGAAUAUUGGACAAUGGGCGCAAGCCUGAUCCAGCCAUGCCGCGUGAGUGAUGAAGGCCUUAGGGUUGUAAAGCUCUUUUGUCCGGGAAGAUAAUGACUGUACCGGAAGAAUAAGCCCCGGCUAACUUCGUG
rnacentral:rRNA from 1 species